GGGCGGUUCCUCUCGAACGUUGCUUGCUCGCUGCGGUGCGCAAAAUCCGUCGUGAGAGCGGUCCGAGUUCUUCAUCAGCACCGAAAGCAUGAUGCUCUCUCCUCUCCUCCCUUCUCUUGUCCGGUGGUCGCGAAGCGCUGGUUUUCUUCUUGGACAGCAAGCUAAAAGAACGGGAGCUCGAAUACGAGGAGGGAGUCUUUCCUUUUUUUUUUUUUUUUUCUUUCCCUCAGCUAGGGUUUCUAAUUGGUUUCUCUGAUCUCUUCUUUUGCCCUCUCCUUCGAUCGCUGGUGAGCGUGGAAUCCAUCAUUUUAGAUCGCGAAUUGCAAGCUAGCUUGCGAUUUCAGUAGCUCUUCUCUUGCCGCGUCAUCGAUCUUCCUCCUAUUAUGGUUCUGCUGCAACUCUGUAAUUUUGAUUCCACGCCUCACUUUUUCUAUGCACGGUUACGACUUAGCAGACCUUGUUUGGCGUUUGUUAGAUGUUCGACUUAGCGGACCUUAUUUGGCGUUUGUAGUUUUUAUGAGAGACUAAGCAUUCAUUGAAAGCAUUUUACUUUUGAACAUUUUUUUACUUCAUCCUGUAUUGUGCCUAUUGGAACUGGCAAUAUCUUUAGCAAUAUCUUGAGAAACUCUUCCCCA
rnacentral:lncRNA from 1 species